rnacentral:ncRNA from 1 species
UGCGAUGAGUCGAGAUCAGCCAGACGGCAGUAAUGUCGUUCCUCUGCGGAGGCUAGUGGCUAUCGAAGCCGGGGGCACGUUUUUCCUUCGUAUAAGGAGUGCUUGAUCGUUCGUGUUGUGGAACAC